AAAUUAGAGCUUGUUAAAGCAUUUUAUUUACAUUAAAAAGUUAAUUGUUAAAAUCAAUUUAAUUUGAU
rnacentral:tRNA from 1 species